rnacentral:tRNA from 1 species
ACCGUUAGUUAAGUCGGUAGAGCGCUCCACUGGAAAUGGAGAGGUCCCGGGUUCGAUACCCGGACCAGGCG